rnacentral:rRNA from 1 species
AUGCUGAAGGUGAUCGAAGUGGUGCAUUUUCCCAAGCAAAGCCACACAAUUGUGCAUUUUCCUUGUCUUGUUAAACCACCAGGUAUGGAGCUGAAGAGCAUCAAAUCAUGUCGCUUGCCUUGUCCAAUUUUUACUAUGUUCAUGCUUCCUUCCACCGAGGCUUCAGUAACACUACUAAUGUGGGCAGAACUGAAUAUGUGGAUUGAUCAGGUGCUAGAGCACCAAGAGCAAAAAGGACGGUGUUCAGGUAUGACACUAGCAACGAUGACUGCUAAAAUUUGCACACAACGGUUAAUAUCAAACUUGCUACUGCAGCUCCAUCCAUCGGUAUGUGAAUCCCAUCAAAGUAAUACAGAUGCUAUGGUGUGCAUCCCCGAAGUUAUGGACACCCUUAGGUUCCUGGGUUUGCUAGGCACUAACUGGUCAUUGAGCCGGUGA